CAGCAGCCGCGGGAAUACGUAGGUCCCGAGCGUUGUCCGGAUUUAUUGGGCGUAAAGCGAGCGCAGGCGGUUAGAUAAGUCUGAAGUUAAAGGCUGUGGCUUAACCAUAGUACGCUUUGGAAACUGUUUAACUUGAGUGCAAGAGGGGAGAGUGGAAUUCCAUGUGUAGCGGUGAAAUGCGUAGAUAUAUGGAGGAACACCGGUGGCGAGAGCGGCUCUCUGGCUUGUAACUGACGCUGAGGCUCGAAAGCGUGGGGAGCAAACAGGAUUAGAUACCCGUGUAGUCCCUGUCUCUUAUACA
rnacentral:rRNA from 1 species